UACAGAGGGUGCGAGCGUUAAUCGGAAUUACUGGGCGUAAAGCGCGCGUAGGCGGCUUUGCAAGUCGGGUGUGAAAUCCCCAGGCUUAACCUGGGAACUGCAUUCGAGACUGCAUUGCUAGAGUAUGGGAGAGGGAAGUGGAAUUUCCGGUGUAGCGGUGAAAUGCGUAGAUAUCAAGAGGAACACCUGAGGUGAAGACGGGUUGCUGGGCUGACACUGACGCUGAGGCGCGAAAGCUAGGGUAGCAAACGGG
rnacentral:rRNA from 1 species